rnacentral:lncRNA from 1 species
GACAGGAUCCACGUGUCUUACUCACACCUACUGAUUCUGUUUGUGGAAUGUCAUCAUCCUCUUAAGACACAGAUGAACAUCUUAGAUAAAUUUCCAGAUGGCUAGUCUACCCCUUGCCACUCCCGCAUGGAGAUAGACUUGGGUAUAUAUGUUGCUACAGACCUGUACAGACACUUCUGAAUAUGUUUAUCAUCUCUAUAUGGGCUCUUUAUUUCUGACCAUGCAUUGACCUUGACUACUUUAAGAAGAGGCAGGAAAUGAUAAGAUGAAUCAAGAAGUAAAAAACAAAUUAGAAAAACAAAGAGGAGAGGAUAAAGUAGAGGAUAAAUUAGAGGGUUUGGGGGUCUCUGAAAGAUGAGAAAGAGGCUGAUUACUGCAUAGAUUUUUUUUUUCUUUUCUGUUCCAAAGCCAGGGUCUCUGUUGUAGAACUGCUGACUCACACACUGACAGAGAUGGUUAUGGAGCUUGCUCAAGGCUGCUGUUGUCUUUGUAUGUGUCAGAAGCCCCACAGGUCCUUGGAGGGUGGGUUUCUCAGUACCAACAGUGGAUGAACUGUUGGAGACUACUGCAGGACAUUUCUUUUUCUUUUCUUUUUCUUUUUCUUUUUUUUUUUUGUAGGGCUAAAAAGGCCAAUCAAAAGAGGGACUUAUGGGUUAUAAACUAAAUUAAGAUCCAGAACAAACAGGCCGUUUGCUGUCCAUGUCUGCCUUAAAGUUGUCUUAAAUUCUUUCUGGGGAAAAAGGUGAAAUAUAAAUGAUCAAGAAGCUAUGGAGGUUUCUUGCACAUCAGUCUCCCUGAAAAUCUAUGACCAGACCUUACAAAGACUUUUGUCAUCUUCCUUGAACCAGAUAGUCUGGAAAACCUAACUUUACAGAAUGAAUGAAUUUUAGUAAGGGCUAAAAAGUGAAUUCCAUGCUCUCCUACCCUCUGCUUCACAUACACCAAGUUUCAGCAUAUUAAAAAUUAUUUUCACAGGGAAAACAAUUCUGAAGAAAAUAAUUCUCAAAUGCAUUAAAUACAAAAUUAUUUUUGCAGAAGGUUUGGGGAGGGAAGUCAGACUUUUGAAAUGCUGGUUUGUAAUGUUAUCCUAAAAGAACUUUUUGCAACAUUUCAAUUUGUAGAAUGUAUCAUUCUAAACGUAUGAUUGCCUAUGAGGUCAGGAACCUUGUCUGAUAACACAUUUAUAUUGUUCAGAGCACCUAGCAUAGUGAUAGGCACAUAUUAGUUUUUAAAAAUUUCUCUGAAUUUUUUCUUCUUUCCUCUAGUAUAAAGGCUGCAAAGCCAAAAACUCUUUUGCAGCAGGCAAGACUUUGUGGAACAAUGAGACCUAAGUAGAAGUCUACUGAGGAUUUCUGGAAAAGUCUUGUUUUCUAAAUAUAGUUACUGCCCUUCCCUUUUCCAGCCCUUGUUUCUUUCUGUUUGGACACUGCACUUGAUGGCUAGAGCUUCAACAGCCAUUGUGAGCCUGUGAGGGAAAGGAAAAUAGAAACAGUGAACUGAGCCCUGACCUCCCUGAGACACUGAACCAAUGCCAACAACCUCCAGACUUCCUGUUACAUAAGGAAAAGAAAGUGCUUAUGUGUUUAAACCACUAGUAGGAUUUUCUGUUAUCCAUAGCAGAAUACAAUUUUUUUUUCCUUUUGUAAAACCCUUCCAUCUGUCUGCCCUCUUUUGGACAUAACUCAAAUAGGAGCACACAUCUCAUCAAAUCAAAUGUGGGUGCUGUCAAAAAGUCUGCCAAAAUAUCAUGCCAUUUGCUUUUUUUAAAAAGAAGAAUUAAAAUCAGAUUUAACAAAAUUAGUUAUUUGUUUUGUUGCUUUUCUUUCCAUCCAUUACAGAAACAUAGACCUCAAUUUACUACAUGCAGGUUUAUACAGUGGCCUUCUAGGGGUAUUCCCAAAUUACCCUAAGAUAAACUAGAUAGCACAGUUUUACUGGGGCAAAAAUUAGUUUUCUCUCUCC